GCAUGACAGCUUGGAUUUUUGAAGAAGGCUGCUGAAGGGCUGAGCUUUUCCUGUUCUCUUUAGAAGGUGAGCUGAACUGCAUUUAGAAGCCUUUAUGUGAUGUUUUAUUAAUCCCAUGAGUCUACUUGCACAAUAUUUAUGUCCUUUGGCUUCGUGACACUUUUAUGGUGACCACACAAGGGACCAUGUUGCUACACACUAGUCAUUUCAGGGUUUGUUCUGCCAGAGAUAUCCCAAGGUUUGUAUUACAUUGCUUUAAGAAUGGCUUUUGGGACACAUGAAACACCUUUUCUUGCAAUCAGUCACACCUUUCAUGUGUGCCUUUACAAAGCUAAUCAGCAGCUGCAUUUGUUUCUUCUCUCCAAAACACCCUUCUCCAUCUUGACCUAGGUGUUCCUUGCAUGAAUAUUCAUAAAUUUGAUAUUAAUUAAGUGUGAGAGAUGUACUCUCUUCUAUUAUCUGAGGUUCUGUCUUCUCUUCAUGUCUGCAGCAUGCUGACUUUAUAAUCUUCCCCCUCAAAGAAGUGAAAGGAUAAAUGAGUAAAUACAGACACUCGUGUAAAAGCUGGUGCCACAUGUUGCCUGGAGACUAAUAGCUGUCAGAGCUAAAAUAGCCAACCUGCUCUGGAGACGAGUGAUUAACAAAUAGGGACCUCAGGAAUAGGAAAAAGCACCAAGGGGAGGAGAUUAACUGAGCUCACAAGAGGAGCACAGGUUAAAUACUUAGUGAGGUGCAGGCUGAAGUCCCUGCAGUAAUCAUUGUUUUUAUUUAUUGCUGCUUAUUUUUGCUAUUUAUUGCUAUGCUGAUGAAAGAGUUUCUUUCCUUUCAAUUUUCUGUAUAAAUUGUGACAGCUUUGGAGGUUUUGGAUGCUCCUGAAGAUGUGCAUCAACAUCUGUCAUGCUUUUUCUGAAGGAGAGUGCUCAGAAAUAGAAAGCUUACUGAAGACAGUUAAUUCUAGUCCUGCCAGAGGAUCUUGGGACAGCAAUAUCAAAUAUUAGAGCAGCAGAUUUGAAAUAAACCUAAAACUUCAUUGGGAGCA
rnacentral:lncRNA from 1 species